rnacentral:rRNA from 1 species
GGGGAGGGAUGCUUACUGCAGUCGACGGCAGCACGGGAGCAAUCCUGGUGGCGAGUGGCGAACGGGUGAGUAAUACAUCGGAACGUGCCCAAUCGUGGGGGAUAACGCAGCGAAAGCUGUGCUAAUACCGCAUAAGAUCUACGGAUGAAAGCAGGGGACCCGCAAGGGCCUUGCGCGAAUGGAGCGGCCGAUGGCAGAUUAGGUAGUUGGUGAGGUAAAGGCUCACCAAGCCUUCGAUCUGUAGCUGGUCUG